GGGCACGUGGUGUAGCUUGGCCUAUCAUCGGGCGUUUGGGACGCCUGGACCCAGGUUCAAAUCCUGGCGCGCCCACCA
rnacentral:tRNA from 4 species